CGAGCGGUAGAGAGAAGCUUGCUUCUCUUGAGAGCGGCGGACGGGUGAGUAAUGCCUAGGAAUCUGCCUGGUAGUGGGGGAUAACGUUCGGAAACGGACGCUAAUACCGCAUACGUCCUACGGGAGAAAGCAGGGGACCUUCGGGCCUUGCGCUAUCAGAUGAGCCUAGGUCGGAUUAGCUAGUUGGUGGGGUAAUGGCUCACCAAGGCGACAUCCGUAACUGGUCUGAAGGAUGAUCAGC
rnacentral:rRNA from 1 species